AGAGACCCUGAUGAAUACUGUUAGCUACACAGCGAACACCAAGGACUUUAAUAUCAGCAUGAGUAUGAGUAUAGACAAUAAUGUAUUUAUACGAUCAUGUAAUGUUGGCAAGGAAUCAAGAUUUCUAGAACCAGGUUAUAAAGAUACGAAUAGAACAAUGGUCAUCAUUAAAUCCUUCUACAAGACCAACGUUUUCAACGAAUACGAACAGGAGGCCUUUGGAUAUGCCACACCAAGAAUUACUGAUCCAGCCAUAUUCAACUUGGCAAACUUCUGUGCAUAGAAACUGGGCUAUUUAUUUUAAUUUUUGCCAGACAGAUGUUAUUACAAUACUAAAUAAAUUUCCCAAACAAUA